rnacentral:tRNA from 1 species
GCCCCCGUAGCUCAGGGGAUAGANNGCACCGCCCUCCGGAGGCGGGAGCGUAGGUUCGAAUCCUACCGGGGGCGCCA